UACGUAGGGGGGCAAGCGUUGUCCGAAUUUAUUGGGCGUAAAGAGCGUGUAGGCGGCCAAGCAGGUCCGCUGUGAAAACUCGAGGCUCAACCUCGAGACGUCGGUGGAAACCGUUUGGCUAGAGUCCGGAAGAGGAGAGUGGAAUUCCCGGUGUAGCGGUGAAAUGCGCAGAUAUCGGGAAGAACACCUAUGGCGAAGGCAGCUCUCUGGGACGGUACUGACGCUGAGACGCGAAAGCGUGGGGAGCGAACAGG
rnacentral:rRNA from 1 species